rnacentral:rRNA from 1 species
CCUUGCACAUACCGCCCGUCGCUUCAUCGAAGUUGGUUCUUGGCGAGGUGAUGCCUAAUUGGCACUAUCGAACCUGGGGUCAGCAACGAGGGAG